rnacentral:misc_RNA from 1 species
CAGAGUUGCAAAACUCCCAACCCUUUGUGAACGUACCUAGCAGUUGCUUCGGCGGAAGGCUCUCUAGGGAGCGGCCCGCCGAAGGCUUACAAACUCUUGUUUUUUUGGCAUCUCUGAGUAGCUUAUAAAAUAAGUUA